rnacentral:rRNA from 1 species
UACGAAGGGGGCUAGCGUUGCUCGGAAUUACUGGGCGUAAAGCGCACGUAGGCGGCUUUCUAAGUCGGGGGUGAAAUCCUGGAGCUCAACUCCAGAACUGCCUUCGAUACUGGAGAGCUUGAGUCCGGGAGAGGUGAGUGGAACUGCGAGCGUAGAGGUGAAAUUCGUAGAUAUUCGCAAGAACACCAGUGGCGAAGGCGGCUCACUGGCCCGGUACUGACGCUGAGGUGCGAAAGCGUGGGGAGCAAACAGG